UUCUCUUUCUGGUUCCGUUCGCAUGCUGUUUCGUAAAACCGAACACACCGACUCGGCGUUACAAAUUGUUAUUUGCUAAUAACAUUUUUUAUAAAUUCGUGAAUAGGCCUACCAAAUAGCAAAAGGUGCACUGUGAUACAAAAUCAAUUGUUGCUUGAAUUUCGGGACCUGGUUCAACAUACUUUGAAGUAGAUGGAGAAAAAGUUUCGAGAUCACACUUGGAACAACAGGGAAUAUAAGAUAGACGAUUUCCACUUUCAGCUUUCCAAUUUUGUUGAGCAACAUUACUCUCUUUGCCUGCGCCCAGUCUGAUCAGUUCAACCACAGACCUCCAGGUUGUACUCCGGAUUUUGAAGCCCUCAUCAGAUUCAAUUCUUUGCUGCCACUUCAAAGGUUGCGGUUUCCACCGUAACGAUUUCUAAUUUAAGAUAAUCUGAAAAUUGAUUGAUUUGAGGUGAAUCCUUCGCCGCUGUUUAAUAGCCUUUAUCCAUUCUUGAAACUGAAGAGAGAUUGCGGAAAUUCAAGACGCAUCAAUAAGUUAUUUAGUUGUAGAUAAAUUACAAGUGCAUAUCUGGGCUCCCUUCUUUUCUGUGGCCCCGUUUCCCUAACUAACCACUAACCAACGCCCGCCGGUGGUCACUCACCCGC